rnacentral:lncRNA from 1 species
CUAUUCACAAGGGUAUGACAGUGUGAGCUUAUUCCAUUUAAAGAGCCAGGAGAUUUAUUCACGACAAUCCAUGUCAUCAGAAUAUAAAUAUACAGUUACUUUGCCUCUGAAGGAUUCACAGACCUUUUGUACUUAACAGACUGGACUGAGGAGGAAUCAAAGUCAUCUGAAUUGUAUCUUGGGUAUUCUGAGCUUCUGGAACAAACCACAUGAAACUCAAGAAGAAGGAAGGCCAAAGUGUGGACACUUCCAUCCUUCUUAGAAGGGGGAACAAAAUACCUAUGGAAGGAGUUACAGAGACAAAGUGUGGAGCAGAGACUGAAGGAAUGACCAUCGAGAGACUGCUUCAUCUGGGGAUCCAUCCCAUAUACAGUCACCAAACCCAGAAACUAUUGUAGAUGGCAACAAGUGCUUGCUGACAGGAGCCUGAUAUAGCUGUCUCCUGAGGCUCUGCCAGUGCCUGACAAAUACAGAGGUGGAUGCUCACAGCCAUUCAUGGGACUGAGCACAGGGUCCCUAAUGAAGGAGCUAGAGAAAAGACCUAAGGAGCUGAAGGGUUUUGCAGCCCCAUAGGAGGGACAACCAUAUAAGCUAAGCAGUACCCCUAGAGCUCCCAGGGACUAAAUCACCAAUUAAAGAAUACACAUGGUGGGACACAUGGCUCUAGCUGCGUAUGUAGCAGAGGAUGGCCUAGUUGGUCAUCAAUGGGAGGAGAGUCCCUUGGUCCUGUGAAGGCUCUAUGUCCCAGUGCAGGGGAAUGCUAGGGCCAGGAAGCAGGAGUGGGUGGGUUGGUGAGGGGGGCAGGGCGGGAAGGGGAUAAGGAGUUUUCUUAGGGGAAACCAGGAAAGGGGAUAACAUUUGAAAUGUAAAUAAAGAAAAUAUCUAAUAAAAAAUGGAAAAAAAGAGUCAUUUGAGACACUUAAUUUGAAGAGCUAUGGAGAAAAGAUUUAAAUGAAACGUGAGAAAGUAAACUGAAAUUUAGUAACAACUUUCUCUCCCCACAGACCUUAACAUAUGUAAUAGAUUUAUAUGUCUUAUUGUAAACACUGUUACAUCUUCCCUCCACCUGCUAGAGGGAGUUGGAGAAUAUGCUUUUAAGAAGAAAGAUAAAUGAACCAAAUGUCACCAAGCCCCAGGGGGAUCAGAGAUGGUGAAACAAGAGGUUCAGUGUUCUGAUUUCCUUUUCUAAUGCAUGUAGUGAGAUAACUUUCAACUAAUCUCUGAAACCACACAGCUGAGUCUGCCCUCUGCCUAGGCUAAGAAAUAUUUGCCCCAAAUGAAUGAAGCAGAUGAGUGAAUAAUCACCCUCACAUUUUAGUUAUAUGAAUAGCUUGAGAGGAAUGAUAUGAGUAGAUACUGUAUUAUAACUGUAUUUUAACUGUAUUUUAAAGAACUGUAUACAAUGAUAUUUAUGUAUAUUUUUUAUUAUUUCCAAGCUAGAUUCUCUUAAGUGAUGAUUCUAAAUGGUGUAGCACGUUGUCUUAGGAUUUUACUGCUGUGAACAGACACCAUGACCAAGGCGGUCUUAAAGGCUGGUUCACAGGUUCAGAGGUUCAGUACAUUAUUAUUAAGGCAGGAGCAUGGCAGCAUCCAGGCAGGCAUAGUGCAGGAGGACGUGAAUGUUCUACUUCUUCAUCUGAAGGCUGCUAACAGAAGACUGGUUUCCAGGAAGCUAGGAUGAGGAUAUUAAGGCUACAACGUUCUAAUAGUGCCACUCCCUGGGCCAAACAUAUACAAACCAUUGUACACUUUGAUGCCAUUUUUUCCCCCCUAGGUGACUCAAACAAUCAACUACCAUCAAGGACUCUUGAGCUUCAAGGCACUGUAGUUCUGGUGACUUUGUGGGUUUUACAUAUGGAUAUAGAAAUAGAAUGUACUUGAAAAUCAGGUAGAUUUACCACAACCUUGAAUAACAUUGAAUUUGACAAAAGGAAGAAAGCAAGUGAGAAGGACUGAAAUUAACACUUGAAGAAAAGAAGGACUGAGGGGAAGGGAUCUACAGACUUUACAGAUCCUAUUCAACUGAAAACAUUUCUCAGCAUGUAAACUGAGAGAUUGUAGUCAACUCAUGAUAGGUGAAGAAAAGCAGUAACCAAUGAUAAAGACUAAUUCAGUUGAUAAAUCAUCAAUACUUCAGUAAGUAUGUGCAUCAUGAAUUUUAGCUAUCUUUUGAUUAGCAUACUGACUAUGUGACAUAGUUGGCUUAAGAAUACCCCAGAUAUAAGAUACAAUUUGCGAAACACAUGAAACUCAAGAAGAAGGACGACCAAAGUGUGGACACUUUGCCCCUUCUUAGAAUUGGGAACAAAACACCCAUGGAAGCAGUUACAGAGACAAAGGUUGGAGCUGAGACAAAAGGAUGGACCAUCUAGAGACUGCCAUAUCCAGGGAUCCAUCCCAUAAUCAGCCUUCAAAUGCUGACACCAUUGCAUACACUAGCAAGCGUUUGCUGAAAGGACCCUGAUAUAGGUGUCUCUUGUGAGACUAGGCUGGGGCCUAGCAAACACAGAAGUGGAUGCUCACAGUCAGCUAUUGGAUGGAUCACAGGGCUCCCAAUGGAGGAGCUAGAGAAAGUACCCAAGGAGCCAAAGAGAUCUGCAACCCUAUAAGUGGAACAACAUUAUGAACUAACCAGUACCCCGGAGCUCUUGACUCUAGCUGCAUAUGUAUCAGAAGAUGGCCUGGUCGGCCAUGAGUGGAAAGAGAGGCCCAUUGGUCAUGCAAACUUUAUAUGCCUCAGUACAGGGGAACGCCAGGGCCAAGAAGUGGGAGUGGGUGGGUAGGAGAGUGGGUGGGGGUAUGGGGGACUUUUGGGAUAGCACUGGAAAUGUAAAUGAAGAAAAUACCUAAUUAAAAAAUAAAAAGAAUCGGUGGUUGUAAGCAACGUCAUUGGAGAUUACCUUGAUAAAUGGGACUAAGAAAGUGCUAGUUCUGUUUAACCCAGGAGGUCUCUUAGUGAUUGUGUUUCAAAUACUCAGGCUAGGUCAUGCUUGCUUCUCAGUUUUGUGUUCUGUGCAGACACUGGGAAAUGUUAUUUAAAGAACGUGUUUUUGAUAGCCAGGAGAUAACUAGAUUUGGGAAGGAGCAGAUUUAGGGUUGUAAAUUAGAAGAAUGACAUAACAUUUUAUGAAAAUAUUAAGUCUUUAAUGCGCUUUCUACAUUUGUAAUUUCUCAAAGAGGAAUGCUGUAAAGAGAGUAAGUCUAGCUAAGAUAUAGAAAUGCUUUUAUAUUAUAGUAAAUCAGCUUUUUUUGAGUAUAUGUAGUGUUUUAUAACAUACUGAAUUAUACUCAAUUGGGACAUAUUUGUAGGCCCACUCACAUAUCUGUGUUUAUUUCUCCAUCCACACAGGUAUUUAUUUACAAUUCAUUAAAAUAUAAAAUGUUUUAAGGGGCUCAAUAUAAAAAUAAGUGCAUGCUGAAAUGUAUUUUAUAGUAAUUACACUUGGUAGUGAUUUAAUAUGCGAAUCUUGUUUUCCUAAUUACAGUAUUUCAAUAGAUCCUGAUUGAUACUGUCUGCCUCGUGUGCAUAAAGGGCACUGUUAGGACAUUGCCUCUUUAUUUAGUUUCCAAUAAAUCCAUAUGCUGUAAUGCAAAAUUCUAGUUUUUCAAAAACUUUCUAUUAAUAUGCAUGACAUUCCUUUGCCUGUUUCCAAGCAUGGACUCUGGCUAAUGUAAGGUAUCCGUAUCAUCAGAGCAUAAUCUCCUUCCUGCUCAUCCAGAUCUGCUCAGACACUCAGUUCUUUCACCUACACGUACACUUUCCCCAUCUUCAGCCAUUGUGAACUCUAUCUGUUUGCCCACAAAUGAUUCCUUUUUGCAUUUUAACAGAGUAUUCAUUCAAGAAAAUUCUCAGUUCCAAAUUUGUUGUUUAAAAAAUCAGCUAUAUGUAUUUAUUUAUGCCUAUAUAAAUGGUAUACCAAGAGUUUCUUUCUAUCAUUUGUUCACCCAUUUAACCUGGUUUAUGGGGACUUACUGCAUUCUGUAUUCUUAUUUUAUAAAACCAUUGUGAAUCUGACACAUUUCCGAUCUGACCACUACAGCAAUCCUUUGACUCCUCAUACAUGAAGUUAAAGUCUUGUGUAAAAUGUAAAACCUAUAUUUAAAAUCAGUGUCCAGGUGUUUUAGUUUUUGUUCAUAGUCACAUAAGGGCAUGUGAACACAAUUGAACCAAUUAUGAAAUCACAAGUCACUCUAGUGGUGAUGAAAAAGAGGUUAGACAAUAAUGUCAUCAGUUUCUCUAAGUACAGACAUUCCAUCAGCCUUAGGUAAAGGGUAAGUAUUUCUAGGCAUCCAGACUUCCUUAAUGGCUGUCAGGUGUGCACUGAAAAUUUGGUACUCCCUCAGGGAGGUGGUAACAAUCCAUCAAGGUUAAAACUAGUAUGCCUUUCAAGACACAUAGAUCAUCUGGCAUCAUUGUCAGCUUGGUGUCCUGUCAGAUGGACACUGUGGAUUCUAAGGAUUUCACAAAGCUUUGCUUGUACAUGGCGUUCAUAGAUGAACACAUGGGUUUUACAUCGCCAUCAAACCUCUCCACCAUUUUAUUCUAAACAGAAUAACUGAACACUUACAUUAGGGAUAAAAUAAUAUCAUACUCUUAUGGAAAAAAGACUAAAGACACUUAAAAAAAUACAGCAUAAAAAUUUCCCCAAUGUGAAGGGGCUGCCCAUAUCUUUGGAGAAGUCGGUCUAUACUAACUAAACCUUAAAAUGCAUUUUAAUGGUCAUGUGCUUCUCUGUAACUCAGAAGACUUUCCUGUUUUUUUUUUUUUUUCUAGAACCUGUGUCACAUUUACAAUGCUUCUCAUGGUGGGAGAGAGAAGAGAGGGGAUAUAGUAAUAUCAUAAGAAUUAGAGAAAUAGAAAAAUAGGAAUCGGUUAUCAAAUUUACUCUUACACAAAACAUUCCAUAGCUAUAUCAUACACUGGUAGAAAUCUUUAUUAUUUUUUUUUCUGGUUCUUUUUUUUUAAUUAGGUAUUUUCCUCGUUUACAUUUUCAAUGCUAUCCCAAAGGUCCCCCAUACCCAUCCCCCCAAUCCCCUACCCAC